CCUGUUCGAGCGUCAUUUAGACCAAUCACGCCUGGCGUGGUGUUGGGGCACGCGUUCUCGCGGCCUCAAAAACAGUGGCGGCGCCAGUAGGCUCUAAGCGUAGUAAUACAUUCCGCUAUAGGGUCCUGCGGGUAGUUUGCCAAAACCCCCAAUUUUUAAAGGUUGACCUCGGAUCAGGUAGGGAUACCCGCUGAACUUAA
rnacentral:misc_RNA from 1 species